rnacentral:rRNA from 1 species
AGCGAACGCUGGCGGCAGGCCUAACACAUGCAAGUCGAACGGACCCUUCGGGGUUAGUGGCGGACGGGUGAGUAACACGUGGGAACGUGCCUUUAGGUUCGGAAUAGCUCCUGGAAACGGGUGGUAAUGCCGAAUGUGCCCUUCGGGGAAAGAUUUAUCGCCUUUAGAGCGGCUCGCGUCUGAUUAGCUAGUUGGUGGUGUAACGGACCACCAAAGCGACGAUCAGUAGCUGGUCUGAGAGGAUGAUCAGCCACAUUGGGACUGAGACACGGCCCAAACUCCUACGGGAGGCAGCAGUGGGGAACCUUGCGCAAUGGGCGAAAGCCUGACGCAGCCAUGCCGCGUGAAUGAUGAAGGCCUUAGGAUUGUAAAAUUCUUUCACCGGGGACGAUAAUGACGGUACCCGGAGAAGAAGCCCCGGCUAACUUCGUGCCAGCAGCCGCGGUAAAAC